rnacentral:rRNA from 1 species
GAUGAACGCUGGCGGCGUGCCUAAUACAUGCAAGUCGAGCGAACGGACGAGAAGCUUGCUUCUCUGAUGUUAGCGGCGGACGGGUGAGUAACACGUGGAUAACCUACCUAUAAGACUGGGAUAACUUCGGGAAACCGGAGCUAAUACCGGAUAAUAUUUUGAACCGCAUGGUUCAAAAGUAAAAGACGGUCUUGCUGUCACUUAUAGAUGGAUCCGCGCUGCAUUAGCUAGUUGGUAAGGUAACGGCUUACCAAGGCAACGAUGCAUAGCCGACCUGAGAGGGUGAUCGGCCACACUGGAACUGAGACACGGUCCAGACUCCUACGGGAGGCAGCAGUAGGGAAUCUUCCGCAAUGGGCGAAAGCCUGACGGAGCAACGCCGCGUGAGUGAUGAAGGUCUUCGGAUCGUAAAACUCUGUUAUUAGGGAAGAACAUAUGUGUAAGUAACUGUGCACAUCUUGACGGUACCUAAUCAGAAAGCCACGGCUAACUACGUGCCAGCAGCCGCGGUAAUACGUAGGUGGCAAGCGUUAUCCGGAAUUAUUGGGCGUAAAGCGCGCGUAGGCGGUUUUUUAAGUCUGAUGUGAAAGCCCACGGCUCAACCGUGGAGGGUCAUUGGAAACUGGAAAACUUGAGUGCAGAAGAGGAAAGUGGAAUUCCAUGUGUAGCGGUGAAAUGCGCAGAGAUAUGGAGGAACACCAGUGGCGAAGGCGACUUUCUGGUCUGUAACUGACGCUGAUGUGCGAAAGCGUGGGGAUCAAACAGGAUUAGAUACCCUGGUAGUCCACGCCGUAAACGAUGAGUGCUAAGUGUUAGGGGGUUUCCGCCCCUUAGUGCUGCAGCUAACGCAUUAAGCACUCCGCCUGGGGAGUACGACCGCAAGGUUGAAACUCAAAGGAAUUGACGGGGACCCGCACAAGCGGUGGAGCAUGUGGUUUAAUUCGAAGCAACGCGAAGAACCUUACCAAAUCUUGACAUCCUUUGACAACUCUAGAGAUAGAGCCUUCCCCUUCGGGGGACAAAGUGACAGGUGGUGCAUGGUUGUCGUCAGCUCGUGUCGUGAGAUGUUGGGUUAAGUCCCGCAACGAGCGCAACCCUUAAGCUUAGUUGCCAUCAUUAAGUUGGGCACUCUAAGUUGACUGCCGGUGACAAACCGGAGGAAGGUGGGGAUGACGUCAAAUCAUCAUGCCCCUUAUGAUUUGGGCUACACACGUGCUACAAUGGACAAUACAAAGGGCAGCGAAACCGCGAGGUCAAGCAAAUCCCAUAAAGUUGUUCUCAGUCCGGAUUGUAGUCUGCAACUCGACUACAUGAAGCUGGAAUCGCUAGUAAUCGUAGAUCAGCAUGCUACGGUGAAUACGUUCCCGGGUCU